CAGCAGCGUAAGGUGGGGUUUCGAAUGUGCACUUUUGAAGUUUUCUUUGCUUCUGAAGAACUAGUGUUCAAGUUUCAACAGAUGGUUUUACCUGGAAUUGAAUGGAAAAGAAUAUACCUUUAUGAUGUGGGCGUCUCCUCUGAAUACGUCCUGGGUCAAUCCAAAUGGAGACGGUUUUGCUGACAACUGGACCCUGCCAUAGUGUGGGUAUAACGCUAGGAAGAAGAAGGGAAUGUACCUUUCAGUAGUCAUUCCUACGGGCCUCACAGAUUAAGGAUUUAUAUUAUAGUAUGGUUAGACAGUGUUGUAAUGUGCUCGUGCGUAACUGAUUGGAUGCUAAAUUGUGAUUUUAAUAUAGAUUUAAUCUCUUAUUUAUUUUAUUGUAGAAUUUUUAACUGGAUAUUCCUUGAGUGUUUUUAACUUUUUCUGGUCUUUUUUUUCUGAUCACUGUAAUAAACAUUGACUUGACAAUAAUCAUUCAACAAAUUUCAUAUGGCCAAAAAUAAAAAAAUAAUUUUUUUCACAAUUAUCUUUCCACCAUAGACUUCCUGACUUCGAAUUAGUGCCAAGCUUAUUUAUACUGGAAAGUCACUGAACUGUUAUAACCCACGUGCUUCUCAAGAGGGAUGAUUCUAUCUAAGAUAGUUUUCAUUGUUCCUAAUUCUGAGGAAAUAUUACUCCCACUAAAGACAAUACAAAAGAGAUCACUUCUAGCU